rnacentral:rRNA from 1 species
UACGGAGGGUGCAAGCGUUAUCCGGAUUUACUGGGUUUAAAGGGCGCGUAGGCGGUUGCCUAAGUCGGACGUGAAAUCCCCAAGCUUAACUUGGGAACUGCAUCUGAUACUGGGUGACUUGAGUUCGGGAGAGGAAUGUGGAAUUCCAGGUGUAGCGGUGAAAUGCGUAGAUAUCUGGAGGAACACCGGUGGCGAAGGCGCUCAUCUGGCCCAAUACUGACGCUGAGGCGCGAAAGCGUGGGGAGCGAACAGG